rnacentral:rRNA from 1 species
GUCGAACGAUGAACCACUUCGGUGGGGAUUAGUGGCGAACGGGUGAGUAACACGUGGGCAAUCUGCCCUGCACUCUGGGACAAGCCCUGGAAACGGGGUCUAAUACCGGAUACUGAUCCGUCUGGGCAUCCAGACGGUUCGAAAGCUCCGGCGGUGCAGGAUGAGCCCGCGGCCUAUCAGCUUGUUGGUGAGGUAGUGGCUCACCAAGGCGACGACGGGUAGCCGGCCUGAGAGGGCGACCGGCCACACUGGGACUGAGACACGGCCCAGACUCCUACGGGAGGCAGCAGUGGGGAAUAUUGCACAAUGGGCGAAAGCCUGAUGCAGCGACGCCGCGUGAGGGAUGACGGCCUUCGGGUUGUAAACCUCUUUCAGCAGGGAAGAAGCGAAAGUGACGGUACCUGCAGAAGAAGCGCCGGCUAACUACGUGCCAGCAGCCGCGGUAAUACGUAGGGCGCGAGCGUUGUCCGGAAUUAUUGGGCGUAAAGAGCUCGUAGGCGGCUUGUCACGUCGGUUGUGAAAGCCCGGGGCUUAACCCCGGGUCUGCAGUCGAUACGGGCAGGCUAGAGUUCGGUAGGGGAGAUCGGAAUUCCUGGUGUAGCGGUGAAAUGCGCAGAUAUCAGGAGGAACACCGGUGGCGAAGGCGGAUCUCUGGGCCGAUACUGACGCUGAGGAGCGAAAGCGUGGGGAGCGAACAGGAUUAGAUACCCUGGUAGUCCACGCCGUAAACGGUGGGCACUAGGUGUGGGCAACAUUCCACGUUGUCCGUGCCGCAGCUAACGCAUUAAGUGCCCCGCCUGGGGAGUACGGCCGCAAGGCUAAAACUCAA